CUUCCAGUAGCACCUUAGAGACCAACUAAGUUUGCUAUUGGUAUGAGCUUUCGUGUGCAUAUCUGAAGAAGUGUGCAUGCACACGAAAGCUCAUACCAAUAACAAACUUAGUUGGUCUCUAAGGUGCUACUGGAAG
rnacentral:miRNA from 1 species